UGCCUUGAACAGUACCUGCCACUCAAUAGGAUGUCUGAUUUGAAAGUGAUCUUGGCUUGGGAAAAGUCCAUCAGGUGUGACACAAGGCUCAAGGAAAGUAUGAGAAAAGGUGACUAUUCUCCAUCUUCUUGGGUGUCCAGAGAGUGUUGGAGUGGCUCCAGCAUAGCUACAAGGGCAGGCUCGGAGGUGGUAUCUGCCCCCAAAAAUCAUUUCUGUGUUGCAUGAGCAUCAUUUGAGAAGACCUGCUGCAUCAUCCCUAUCAAUAAGGCUGUAAGCACCUGAUUUCCUGUAUCAUGUCUUUUCUAGCUUAAAAUAUAGUGCUUUUUCCUUCUCAGAAUCUUGACUAAAAAAACAGAAAGGAAAGGUGAGAAAAAGAAAAAAAUGGAAUAAAGAUGUCUAUGUCACAACA
rnacentral:lncRNA from 10 species